rnacentral:lncRNA from 1 species
UAAGAAGCCUUUCCAGCUCUUCAUCAGAGUUGUACACUUCCCUCUUUCCUCUGUAGCCGUAAAGUCCUUGUCACUUUCGGUAUCAUCGAAUUCUGACCCACUUUCCCCAGUUUGAGGCACUUCUUCUUCUUCAUUAUCAUCAUCGGAAUCAACUAAGCUUACAAAAAGUAGGCUUUUGUUUGUUGUUGGGAUUGUACACCGGUAACGUGUCUCAGGACAAAACACGAUCUGAUCGCCGCCUUGGUACAGAAGGAUCGACCGUAGCUUUUUUCUUUUGCCUUUUUGGGGCGGAAGAAAGAUAUUUCUCCAGUCGUUGUUGGUCGUUGGAGCCUGGACCACUUUGGCUUUCGGUCGACGGUCGCGAAGCUACUGUACCUUGAAUCGGUGAUGACGGUAACUUUGAAAUUGGCACUGGACUCGACGAAGUUUUCCAUGGAUCAAAGGAGCUUGGCACCUCUUUGCAUGGUGAUGUAUCCAUAGGAGUAGACCAUCACCACCUACAUCAUUCACCAUCGGGCUGCCGCCGGAGUAACAGACACGUGCAACAAGUGGGCAGCUUCCAGUUAAGGAUUAAGUGUUGAGUAUUUGAGGAGGUCAAAUUGAAUAGAUCGGGGUGGUGUUGUGAUAGGGUCUUCAACAAAUUGGUGAAAUACUCCAUUUGAGAUGGAUCCAUAGCACCGAUUGGUAGAUAGAUAGAGAGAGAGAGGAAUUUGGGGAAGAUGAAAGGGUUUAUGGGGAC